rnacentral:rRNA from 1 species
GUAGCACAGAGAGCUUGCUCUCGGGUGACGAGCGGCGGACGGGUGAGUAAUGUCUGGGAAACUGCCUGAUGGAGGGGGAUAACUACUGGAAACGGUAGCUAAUACCGCAUAAUGUCGCAAGACCAAAGUGGGGGACCUUCGGGCCUCAUGCCAUCAGAUGUGCCCAGAUGGGAUUAGCUAGUAGGUGGGGUAACGGCUCACCUAGGCGACGAUCCCUAGCUGGUCUGAGAGGAUGACCAGCCACACUGGAACUGAGACACGGUCCAGACUCCUACGGGAGGCAGCAGUGGGGAAUAUUGCACAAUGGGCGCAAGCCUGAUGCAGCCAUGCCGCGUGUGUGAAGAAGGCCUUCGGGUUGUAAAGCACUUUCAGCGGGGAGGAAGGCGUUAAGGUUAAUAACCUUGGCGAUUGACGUUACCCGCAGAAGAAGCACCGGCUAACUCCGUGCCAGCAGCCGCGGUAAUACGGAGGGUGCAAGCGUUAAUCGGAAUUACUGGGCGUAAAGCGCACGCAGGCGGUCUGUCAAGUCGGAUGUGAAAUCCCCGGGCUCAACCUGGGAACUGCAUUCGAAACUGGCAGGCUAGAGUCUUGUAGAGGGGGGUAGAAUUCCAGGUGUAGCGGUGAAAUGCGUAGAGAUCUGGAGGAAUACCGGUGGCGAAGGCGGCCCCCU